rnacentral:rRNA from 1 species
GACAGAGGUGCCGAGCGUUAGGCGGAAUCACUGGGCUUAAAGCGUGUGUAGGCGGACUUCUAAGUACCUUGUGAAAUCCCACGGCUCACCCGUGGAACUGCUGGGUAUACUGGUCGUCUUGAGCCACCUAGGGGCGAGCGGAACAAAUGGUGGAGCGGUGAAAUGCGUAGAUAUCAUUUGGAACGCCAACGGUGAAAACAGCUCGCUGGGGGUGUGCUGACGCUGAGACACGAAAGCCAGGGUAGCGAACGGG